rnacentral:rRNA from 1 species
UAAGGAGGGCGCAAGCGUUGUUCGGAAUUACUGGGCGUAAAGCGCGUGUAGGCGGCCAGGUAAGUCGGGUGUGAAAUCCCGAGGCUCAACCUCGGAACUGCACUCGAUACUGCUUGGCUCGAGUCCCGGAGAGGGUGGCGGAAUUCCCGGUGUAGGGGUGAAAUCCGUAGAUAUCGGGAGGAACGCCAGUGGCGAAGGCGGCCACCUGGACGGUGACUGACGCUGAGACGCGAAAGCGUGGGGAGCAAACAGG